CUCACGUGUCUCACGGAGCAGGAGGCCAGCUUUCCCGAUUGCCCAGGAUGGAACAGAAAGACAUUCUUCAGGCUGGCCUCCAAGCUGGCAGAGACGACAAGACAAGAAUGCAUUGUGGAAGCCCAAGCUGGAUGGAGAUGCAGCGGGAGUAGAUGCUUCAGUCGACAGUUCCAGUUCUGGAGGCUGGGACAUCCCAGAUCAAUUGGCUUGAAGACUUCCUGUCUGGUGAAGACCAGCUUCCUGGUUCAUAGACGGCAUCUUUUUGCUGUGUCCUCGUGUCGGGGGAGGGAGGGAGCUCUCUCAGGUAG
rnacentral:lncRNA from 1 species